CAUUACGAUAAAUUGGCGCUUUUUUUCCAUUGUGGAAUGAACUUCCAUUUCACACUUAUAUAUAGAAUUAUGCACUUCUUAGCCAUAGUGAGGUCUUUGUCAGCUGGUGCCUCAGUAUGGUAAUAAGGAAGACAGCACAUUCUUGUAGAUUUGAUAUGUGGAUGUAGAAAUUUCUGGUGUAGAAAGCAUUUGGUUCAUUUUCAGGUGACUGAUUGAGGCUAGUUAACUUUUCCUUAUAUCCUGAUUUACAUUUAAAAAUGGAAAUAUUGAUACUGAUGGCAUUCAUAACAUACUUCAGAAUUUACGGAUGAAAUGCUACAGAUGUAUUCUAUUUAUAUGAAAUGCAUAUUACAAAGCAAGAUUGUCUUGAGAUCAAGAGAUUCGAAGAUUGAACUUUUCUAAAUAUUUCAUUUUAUUUGCAUCCUUAAAUAAUUGAACCAUUUAGGAAAGGUACAUGCUGGAAACAAGAACUUGAUCCAUAGUAAUGUUCUCCUUACAGUUCCUUUGGUUUUUGCUUGGACAAUGGCAUAGUUUAUCCUGAAGCCAGUCCUGUGUUACAGAGUAGGCAUCUGAUAUGAGACAACUCUGCUGUCUUACCAGAUUCAUAGCAUAGAUGAGUUGUAUGUUUGUACGUCUGUGUCUGUAUGUCCGACCUGUGAUUGGAUUGCUCUAAUUUCACUCAUAGUUUUUUAGUUUUACUUGUUUGCUGCUGUGAAGGUGAGGGGUGGAGGAGGAGUUGUCCCAUCAGUUUACAUUAAUUGAUGAUAUUUCCCAGCAGUUUCCCUCUGCCUAUCCUUGUCUCUUGGGGUGACACCCUAUGGGUGGUGUUGACUGCAAAGCAGUAGCCCCAUGCUAAUAUUCAGGGCUUUAUGCAGGCAUUGGGUAUUGAAGUAUGCUAUUACUGAACACUCUCAAUACAUAAAGAUUUUUUACCUAUUUAUGACUCUUCCUGAAUCUGUGAGCAUGUACAUCUAGCUAAUAAAACCCCCAAAGAACAGCUCUUUUAUAUCCUGACAAAAAGGCUUUUUGAUUAAUCUAUAUUAAGUAAUAUAGUUUAGUUUGUUGUAAACAUGUAGACACGUAAAAAUCACUGAUUUGGUUUGGUUUUGGUUUUUUGGGGGGUUUGUUUCUUUUUUUUUUUUUUCUCAUUAUCUAAAUUUUUCAUUAUCAUUUUUGACUAUGUAUCCAUUAUUUCCAGACACAGGUGCUGUACCUAUAGCCAUUAAUUUAUCUUUCUUUUUCUCUCAUAAAAAAUCAUGUUAAUGUGGCAUCCUGCAGAUCUCUGAUGUUUACAUAGUAUCAGCACAGGGAAAUACUACUUUCAGUUUGAUACACAAAGCCCUCCUUGUCUCUUGUGUCUUUUGUCUGUAGGCUAUUAUGCAUGUGACUAAAGCCAUGCAUGACUUAAGCAAAUGUUUGAAUAGGGUUCUUGUGUAGUAGGACUGUAUAAGCCAUUAGGCAUACUCUCUUUAACUUGGUGAUGAAAACAUUAUGGUACAUUUGGUCACACAAAGUAGAGUAAAAUUGCUUUUGUGGCAGCAGAAUAAACAGCAUUCUAAUCUGUGGGGUUUUUUUAUUGUGCACGUGUGUGUGCGCUGCAUAUUUUCGGCAAAAUUAUCAAGCAGGACUGAACAUGAAAAGUGUUAAAGUUAUUGGAGUUGUGGAGUGAAAGCUGGGCUGAAGAGAGAAAGAAUGUAUCACUUUUUCCAUUAUGAAAUUUGAAAUCAACAUUAUUCUGUCAUAUUUGUGAUCUGAGCUUGAAAUCGGUUAAUUGACAUGUGAGGCAGUUGCUAACCAUCUUUGUCAUUUAUAAAGCCUUUUGUGAGGGCAUUGUUUUUCUUUCUUCUCUAUAUGUGGUGGAUACUGGAGUGGGGACUUGAAUUUUUGCUAUGGGAAUGUGAAAAACAUGGGAAGCUGUUCUCUGCCAAGUUAUUUCCCCAAGGCUCUGCUUUACAUUCUGACAAUCAAUGACCUGUCAGGUGUAGUUAUGCACCAUAGCAAUGAUAUGAGGUCAAUCAGAUGAAACCAAGGUAUGUAUUCCCAGCAGAUCCCAGCUAUCUGUUUAACACUGUCAAACUAAGUUUUCUUUGCUAAAGAGCAUCCUCUUUCAGUUUAGUUUCUUUUUAGAUUUGAUUAACUCUGGAUUUGCAUCCAACCUGUGAAUUUCUGACAGGAGUAAAAAUAUUUAUUUAUUUUGCUUUGUCUUGAAAAAUACUAAAUUACAUGUUCUGGUAUUUUGUCUUUUAACUUAAACCCAUGCUUGUUAUAACUGUGCAACUCUUCCUCAUAUAAAGAGUGUGUAUUUGAUGUUAAAAAACCCCAAAAACAAGUAUGUUCUUUGCUGUAAUGGUCAGGAGAUAUUUAAGUAUCUGUUUUACAGUAACAUAAAUUUAGUGUCUCCUAAACACAUAAAUAUUUCCUUAGAGAAAACCACCUUACAGAUAUAACACAUUUAUUUUGCCUUGCAAUUCCAUAUUUGUGCAGCAAAAGAUGUAUAAAUUGGAUCUGUAAAUCAGUGUUUUUAUAUGGAAUCACUUGUCAUUGUUUUAUGGAACUCCUGCAUCUUGCCAAUAUUUCCAACCUCUAGAUAUCAGAGGAGAAAACACUUUCUUAAAAUGGAUACAGGAUUUUCCAUAUUUUCUCUUAAAAACAAACAAACAACCCCCAAAAUAAAUAAAAAAAUUAAAAAGAGCUCUGUUUUGUUAGCUCAUGUCUGAGAACUGCUAAGGAUUAAGGAUAAACAUGCACUUGGUACACUGUGUGCUGCAUACAUUGUAACGGAACAAGAGCAUUUUUAGCUACUGUGUGUAUCAUAUUGAAAGCAGAAGACAGCAGUGAUAACAGAAACUAAACAACUAAAACAAUGAAAACAACUAAACAACUGGAUUAAAAUGUAUUUAUUAAGUAACAAAAAAAAAAAAGAAAGAAAAUGUAAGUGUUGCUUUUUGAGAGGAAACAAGAAACUAAACCUAAAACUUUAAAAAAUAUAUGUUAAAAUAACUCAUUCAGAAAUGCAGGCUAAUCCUGUCUGAAAGCUGCUGCAAGAUUUUAUAUGAAAAAUCUGGCUUUUUUUCAUGAUGUUGUAAUCCAUCCUUUAUUUGUUGUCUUGCUAAAUAUAGUUCAAGCUCUAUCAUCUGAGAAUAAGUUAGUAUACGUCUGCACUGUGAUUCUUUUCUUUUUUCAGAUAUUUUGAAAUCAUCUGUUGAUUUUCUGGUCUGCAAGACCAGCAUGUGAAUCAUAUCAACAACUAUACUCCAUGUUUCAAAAAUAUGUAAAACUUUGCAGUUCUUCAAGCAGAAGAAGCAGAGAUCUGGAUCCACAAUGGAGUGCUGGACAAAGAACACAAAGGCCUCAUCCCUGCAACACCAGGAGCUCAGUGGCAUGAAUACAUGCAUCCAGUGCUUCCUGAGCAUACUGCUUUCCAAGACAGUAUAUGUGUGUGGUGAUUGUGUUCAUCUCCUGAGGGAUCCCUGAUAAACUAAACCAGGGUGAUGUAGUGAUGGUCUCUUGAGGUCUGAACUGCAUCCUGAGCUCAUUCCAAGCUCCACUUCAUCCUGCUGCAGGUUUGUUUGAACCACUGAAGCUGUUAUAUUAAUAACUGGAUUAUAAGCAUACCUGGUUUUUGGUCCUUCACAUGCUUUUGAUGCUAAUUCUACUUUAGGACUUUGUAUUGUUUUAAUGUGAAUACCUUAAAUAAAGUAUCCUAAAAUGUGCAGGGACUUGCUUCAAUGGAUCAAGCCCUAUUCUCUACAUGCAUUUUGAGUUCUGUCUCCCAGCCUGAGUCUGUCAGAGGUGCAUGGCAUUUCAUAUGUAUUUUCUUUCUCUCAGGAGUGAGACUCAACAUCCACUGUAGGACUGACUUUAAAGUGCAGCCUCUAUGGAAAUUUAGCCUACUUACACCAGGAGAUCCAUGAGUCACUCUAUUACAGUAUCUUAGCUGCUGGAGUCCACAAAGCAUUUAAUAGUUUCCUUCACAAACAACACACUUAGGUGGUUCAUUUCCAAAGGGGAAAAAUCUGAAAAGCAUAACUUUUAGUGUUUGGUAAAAAAAUCCAAUCUAAACCCGCACCAACAACAGGGAAUGUUUUUUAAGAUUUUUUUUUUUAUUUUACUUUUUAAAUUACCCAGAAUGCCUUUUCACAUCAGUGUGGUAGUGUGCCUUUGGGCCACCAAGUCAGAGUUUCUUCUGGAAAUACAUGGUAAUUGCCUUUGAGCUGUAAGUGCUCCAGAGUAGACCUCCCCUCUCUAAAAGAGCUCUUCAAGGGUAUUUCUGUUACUCUAAUUCACUCAAAACGAGUUGCUUAAAAUCUCUGGACUCUCUGACAGAUGAAAUGGGAUUGAUUGGAAGACACUCUGUUCCGCAAGGAACUCCAAGCACAGUUUUUACAAAGGACUUAUUACCAAUAGAAUGCAGGCACUCUCAAAAUAAGAACAAAGUAAAACUACCAGCUCUCAGCUAGAAGGAAUAUCUGAGAAAAGGAAUGAAAAACUCAGUGUGUAGUUGAUAAUUAAUCUCUAAGGUGCUGCAGACUCCACUUAGCUUUUAUAGUAUCUAGAGAGAAAAGAUGUAAUCCACCAUCACGUUUAUUCCUCUGUUCUUCUAUCAAAAGGUUGUUAGGCCUCACCUCUUCAAAGAUUUGUGCACAUAUUUAAUCUUCUGACUUUACAAAUGGUAAAAUUAAGCAUGUAGGUCAAUUUCUGCAUGAAAAAGAUGUGGUGGGUUUUUUUUGGGUUUGUUUUUUUUAUUUUUUUCACAUCAGCUAAAGUAAACUGCAGGAGGAAUCAGGGAAAAUUUCCAAACCAUUGUGUUUAGACUUGCUUGGAAAGGUUCCUGAAGUACAUCUUCCUCAGAUUUCUCUGUUGCUUCUGAGUAUCAGGAUUGUGAUAGAUACACAUGAUUCUAUUUGAGUUAUCUAAAGUGCUUUCUAGUGAAUUCUUCUUUUCCAGUAACUGAAUUUUCAAGUUUUUCAAGAGGAAAAAAAGUUCUCACUUGUGAAAAAAACACAGAAAACACACUCAUUUCAGAGCAAAAAUGAAUAAUCUGCUUUGAUUAAAAAAGCCAAAGCAUUCUAUUGCUCAGGUUUUAAUUUUCUACACACAUAUCUCCUGCUUAGGGAGGCUCUGCAGUACACCUUUCCCUUUCAACCCUUGUUAUUUGGUGCAUUAAUUUCAUUUAACAACAAGGAACUGAAACAUUACGAUGUGGAGUGAGGAAAGACAGCCUUUUAAUACCAUUUGGUUGCUUGCCAAAUAUUUUGCAAGCGUUCCUGUUAGGACAUAUUACGUGAGCAUACAUACUACAUUAUAUAUAUACAGCAUAUUUAUAUUCUUACAACAUGUUUAAACUUCUCACUUAUAAAUGUCUUGUACAUCUAGAUUCUCCUGGGAAAGCAAACCUGCACAACCUGCCUUUGUCCUUCUUCCUUGGCAAGGUUAAUGUGGCUUUUGUCAUGUAGGGGGAUCUUGAAGACUAGGUCAGCACUGCAGGCAGCUUGCAAAUGGGUGUGUUCCAAGGGGAGAGGGAGCAAAUCAGAGAGGAAACCUGAAUGGGCUAUGUGUGAUGAAAAGAUAGAAAAGUGAUAGAGAUCAAAGUAUGUUGAUUCAGUUGUAUAAUUUGGCCUCAAUAUCAAACACAGGUUACAGUUCACCAGGGGAAAUUUUUCUGUUUGCCUGCUCUCCUUCCAAAAAAAAAGAGGAGGGAAGAGGAAUGGAAAAAGGAAGCAAUUCUAAGAUCCAACCAAUUGUUUUAAUUGUAGCAGAGCUCAAGUUGGGAGUAUCUGGAGCAUUGCUGAAUGACAUGUUCACUGCCUGUUUGUUUUGCUUUGUGGGUUUUUUUGUUUGUUUUUGUUUUUGUUGUUUUUGUUUGGUUUUUUUUGGUUGUUUUUUUUUUUUUUUUGGUGAGGGGAUUUAUUUGGUUUUGGUUUAGUUUCAGUUUAGUGUUUGGUUUGGGGUUUUUGUUAUUUUUUUUUCUCUUCCUUUGGAAAGGGUUGUAGUAAACUCUAUUAAAUAUAAAUGUUUAUCACAUAAUGGAUUUUGGAUUUUUUUCAUCAAACAUGAGGCAAGUUCUUCAAAAUGCUUUUCUUGGUAAGAAAUGACAAAGAGUGCCAAUGGGAAUGCUUAUAUGAUCCUUUAUGUUUUCCUGCUUGAACUAUGUGAACAGUGAAAUUGCAGCUGAGAACUGUUGCAAUAUUCUGGCAGGAAUGCACUUAAUUUCUUCUUUCUCAGCAAGUUCCUACAUGCAGCUAUUACUACAAACAGAGACUUCUCAUGUCUUUGCCCAAAACAUUAAAAAAAGACCAAAAAAAGGCAAGCAAAAAACCUUCCCACAUUAAAUUCAAGACAAAAGGAAAUAAGUUGUCUGUAGGGAGGCUGGUGCAUACGCUCUUAAAAUCCUCUUCUUAUUGAAGUCUCUCUGAACUUUUUGAUGCUAUAAAGGAUGGCCAAAUUUUCUUCACUGAUGAGGGAAACUUGGCAUUCUAUUUCUUUGGAAAAUCACUUUUAUUCUUUUCUUUAUUUCAUCAAGGGGCUUCUAGAACAGCCGUGUGCUGCAAUAUUAUAGAACAUUUUCCUAUGAUGUGGACCCAUGGGGCCUGAUGAUGUUUUGUCCUGUAGUAUUUUCAGUAGCUGCAAAUGCCUAAGGAACAUUGCCCUGAGAGAGAGAAGCUGUGCUACAGGCAUUGACACUGCAUGGACUGCUUACAGAAAACACAAGGAAACAGGGAAUUCAGCAGCGUUAUUCUCAUAUGUAGAGCUCUUUCUUUGCCUGUCCUCUUGCAGUGUCGCCACAUUGCAGACUCACCCUACGCCAUUGUUCAAACAACAUGUCUGAACAACAGAUGAUUUUGUUCAUUGGCCCAAAUCUGAAAAGCUAGGGGGGAGGUGAGAAGUGAGUCCAGUAGAAGGGAAGCUACUCACAUUUUAAACUAAACUCAAAACAUAGAGCUAAAUUUGUGGGAUCUUCAACAUCUUUUCCUUGUCAGCUGGAUUGUUUUAAUGCAUAAAUAUGUUAUUUUGAAAGGAACAGUAAAAAUUUCAUUCAGGAAAGUAGUGAAAUAAACACCUUAUCUAAACAAGCCUUUCAAUUUUAAAAAUAUCAUAACGCUAAUGUUGAUAGUCACUACUUAAACGUUUUCCUGUUGAUUUUUGAUCUCUUCCCCUGUCAGAUUGGUAAAAUAUGAAUUUCAUUCCUUCCCUUAAAUUGCCUGGAACUUGUGGGGAAACAGAAUAUUUUUCUCUGUUUGCAAAAGAUGGGCCAAAUAAUGUAUUUUUAAGCCUAUUGAUUUUCAUCCUUCCUGGUUAAGCUGUAAAAAUGUCUGCUUUUUCCCCACAGAAAUUCCUAUUCUGUGAGACGUACUCCAAACUCCUUUAUCCAAAAUAAUAUUACUAAUACCUUUAUCUAAAAAUGCUAAUUUAAUUUCUGUGAAUCUUUCUUCCUGCUGUAAUGGAAAGCCCCUCAAGUAUAUUACCAUGCCUGCCUCUGUUUGCUGUAUCAGUUCCACAUGCUAAUGUGAUUUCCUGUAAGAGGAGAUGAAUAUAUUUGUUCUGCAGUGAAAUCGGGGGGGAAGAAAAAAAAGAGAAAAACCUGAACAGUGCUUUAAAGAGAGUAAUCUCAACGGAAAAUAUCAAGUUGGUUCUACAGCGUGAGUCUUAGAUGUAAAAUCUUGCUCUAGCACAGACUCCAGACUUUCUCUGCUUUUCUGGCCAGUGAGGGAUGUUGUUUCUGCCACCUGUUUGGAGACAAUUGUGCAACUGGGACUGUGGAAUGACGUCCAGUUGCCUUUUUUAGAAUAUGAAUAGGACUUUUGAAAUUGGCUGUGCUGAGCAGUUUGGGGCUGAAUCACUCUGUAGACUUGCCAGAGAAAGCGUUUAGCUGAUGGACUUGAGCCAAAGCCCACUGUAUCUCACAGCAACGCUGGCUUUGGCCUUGGUAGUCUGGGGCUAAAGCUCUGCAUGAAUGACAGCUUCUUUUCUGGAAUUAUCAAUAAAAACUUAUGAUUUCUAGUUUCUGACUUCAUUUUGCCAAAGUAUUUUACCUACAUUUUUUCAGUUUGAGCCACCACUGCCUGGUUCUGCUCUUCCCUCCUCUGAAAGGGGUGUUACGUUUGAUGGUAAUGUGGAUGCUUCAUCAUGAAAAUGUCAGGGGUAAGCAGCAAUCUCAGCGCUCAGCUGGCUGAACUGCUUAGUCCCACUGUCCACUCACUUUUAAUUUUUACUCACUUUUCAUUUCUGAGUGUGUGCUAUUUUGAAGUGCCUCAAAUGCUCUCAGACCCCAAGCUAUUUUGGACGUGAUCAUGUCAUUUCCCUUCCUUCUGCUGCAAUCACAAUUGGAUCCUGCGGGCACUUCCCAUAACAGGCCUCAGUUAUCAACGGCAGGAGUUUCAGUGCAUUUCCCUUUGCAAAGACUUUUGUUGCCAGUUGGGAGUUGUUACUUGUUUAUGUCAGUCUGCGAGUAAUGCCCUUUUGCUAGCAUUGUACACAAUGUUUUUAGGUUUUUUGACAUUUAUCCCUCCUGUUGUUAGACAAUGCUAGCUUUGCAAGUUGCAAAGAGUAAUCUUUUCCCCUCGGGUGUCAUUUUUUCUGCAUUUUGCCCUUUUUUUUUUUUUUUUUUUUUAAUGUGUGAUUAUUUUCCAGUUUUAAAGGUAAAAAGAAUAAAAAUUAACAAGCUUAGAGGCAUUUCCCAGUCUGCUACUCACUGCUGUGAAUAGAUGUUAAACAUAGAUUUCUGUGCCCACUUUCAGUCUCCUUUAGAUCUGUUCCAGCAGUGUUACUGCUUUCAUGCUAUCUUCCUUGGUUUUGUGGGAUGCAACCUAAAUUGUACCAGCCCCAGCAUUUCUGUUAAAUGGUAGGAUGAGCUCUGCAGACUUUACUCCAUUGUAAUCCAUAUAAUAAUACCUAUCUUGUGGGUCACUGAGCAUGUCUUAUGAAAAGAACACUUAAACCCUGUUAAUUUUGAAUAUUGACUUUCAGUAUUUGGUCCAUCACUCUGAAGUCAUAACUUUAGGAUCUCUUUAAUUCUUUUUCAUUUCAUACAUAGAAGAAACAUUUUAUCCUUCCAUUUGAUUGCUUCCUAACUUUUUUCUGUGUUUUUAUUCCAACAAAGUUUGCUUUAGCAUGGCUGUAUAGACUGUAUUGCUGUAAUGGUGUCAAAACUGUGGAGACACCUUCAGAGCCAAAUUGUGCUUCAUACUUGUGCUACAUUUCUGCAUAGAAGAUGGACAGCCCAUGCCUACCAGACUAUUUCCUUGUGUUGCUUCUUGUACAUAGAUAUAUAAAAAUCUGCUCCAAUAGCCCACUGUGAAGAAAUGUCCCAGUUUCACAUGGUCCCUAUGGAUCAAGCUCCCUGUAGGCGUGCUAAGAAGAUAGGUGUUUUUGAUCUUCCACACUGGCCAACUAAAAACUCUCUAUUUUUUAUAUUUAUGGUCCUGUACGCCUUUCCCACCAGAACUGCAUGCCCUAUUGCAGUGAAUUAGAACCUCCCAGGAAUGCUCUUUCUGGCUUUAGUUAUUUUUCACAAACCUCUUUAAAAUAAUUCUUAACCCUGAAUAUGUAGGUAACAUCUGCACUGUGCAUUCUACAAUGACAGCUAUUUUACGCGAAACUUGUCAGCACUUCUGAUCAGAUUCUAAUUUUAUGGUUGUUCUUUUAUUGUUUGAAGUUUCCUCCCACUUAGGACUUUGGAAUGGUUUGUGAGAACAUUCAAAGAAACAGAUGACUGUUGUUAAGACUCUGUCUUCUCUCUAGAACUAAUUCAGCUGUAGAAAAAAAUAAAUGAAAAAUAUGCCCUCAGGCAUGCUUUCCCUUAUGCAUAUACUCAUGUCCCAUGAAAAUAUUUUUCUGUAAAUUAGCAGCUUGGUUUAGUCUUGUCUCUCAAGGUUAUCUGGUUGCAGGGUAUAGCAUGUGCUUCAUAAUAAGUGAAAAACAAGUUUAAUCACUGAAAUUCUGUUAUUUUCAGCUGCAAUAAGAUGCAAGAUCAAGGUAGCAAAUUUUAUUGCCAGCUGAAGCUGCAGGGUAACAGGCUGCUGCUGGUUUUCCCUGCAGACAACAGCAAAGAGCACAUUUUGUGUCAAAGUAAUUGCACUAGCAGGUGCCGUUGAGCAACUGUGUUUUGGUUGCGACACUAUUGUGGCUCAUUGCUUACCACAAAUGUUUAUGUAUAAAAAAAAUUCAGUUCUGCUUUUAAAUUCCUAUUCAACUGACAAGGAAGGAUAGGGUAGACAAUGGUGAAGCAAUAACUACAGUUUAAAAGGGAGCAAGUCUCCUUCCCAUUUCUGGUGGGUGAGUACCACUGUUCUAUCACAAGUCCUUCCGUAGGUGUUUAUCACAGCAACCGUAAACUGGCAUUCAGUGCUGGCAACAUGAAAAUCCAUAAGAACUGGAAGAGAUAGUUGCAAUGGGAUACAUGCUGAUAUGAUUCUGUCAUAUUUUUAGGGAAUAAUGUAAUUUCAUGCACCAUACUGUCCUGGCUGAGGGCUCCAUGUCCCUCCUGUGACUCUCUUCUUGCCUGCCUUCCUCAUGUGCUCCACCUCAGGACUUGGCAGCUCCUGCUGCAGGAAAAGCAUCUGGGGACAGAUGCAGCGAAGGGAGGGCUGGCAGAACAGCACCUGAGGGCCCAUAGCAUUUAGGGUGCACAGAAACACUGAUAAUCUUGGCUCCUCCUAGUCUUGUGAAUCCAUGUAAGUUUACUUGCUGAAACCAUUACCUGCUUGUGCCAGGCCCAAGACAAUGUUUAAUUUGAUCUUUUCAAGGCUGUGGACAGCUGCAGAGGAGGGAACUUCAAAGAAAUGCAUUGAUGCCUCAGGCUUUAGCUUUUAUAUUUUUCAGAUUCUGUACUGCUUUCGUGUGUAAUUCUGAGCUUCAUAUUAGGGGAUAAUAAGCUCUCUUCACAGAGUAGGCAGAUAAAACAACUCCUUCUCUAGCUGGAGACCAAGGACAAAUGGUCCAAAUUUCAGACCCAAGAACAUAAACAAUGGUGGACUGAAGGUAGAAAAACAAGAAGGAUGGGACUUGAUAACCUAAAGCUAAAAUUGGACAAUUAACUCCAGUAUGCUAAUGGAUCAGAACUUAUAAAAUAUGAGACCUCGUGACCGGUUGUCUAUUUUGUGAACAUUUUGGGUCCAUCUUGGGUGUAGCCCUGGCUGGGCUCUUAUGCUGCCCAAGGUGUAUCCAUUGAGGCCUUCUAAUAAACACCUACUUUAUUCUUAA